UUUUUAAACUUUCCUUUGUCCAAAACCUUCUUAUGGAGCAUCACCCGGUUCAACUGGUUCUUGUUUAGGAUAGCACCAAUUUCUCGAUAUCAGUUCUCAAAAAAUGGUAUUCAGCACUCCAUCUUGUUGGAUCCUUUGUUUUAUUUAGCAUAUACAAAAUCUCAUUUAGGAGCCACUUUUGUAAAUUAUUUGAAAUCAAUGAUCCGUAAAAGGGUUAAUAUAAAAAUCUUGCAAGCUGAGAGGGAUCAUGGCUUGGAUAGGGUCACCAUUAUUUCCAAGUCUGGGUAAUGCAGAGGGCACCUGAGGGCUUCUCUCGCCAGUAAAAACUGAAUUUCAGGUAGUCUAAGCAUAAACAGAAUGUUGAUAUAUUCUUCUAUAUUUUCAGGAAUGUUCAGCGUACUGAAUGUUUGAUAUAUUAUUGUACAUUUUGGCAUUUACAAACAUAUGAGAUACUAUAUUGUAUGUUUCAGGCAUCAGAGGAUCCUCAACACAUACAGAAUGUUGACAUUGUAAGAAGAGCAAUGAGGACGCCAUCUCGGCUUGGAAUACUGACAGAAUUGGCUAAAUCAGAAUCAUCUUCUAGAACCAGUCGUACCACCUCGUGCAUAUUUCAACAGGAUCAAUUUCAACUAAACCUGGCUGCUCCGAGAAUAUUCGACUAACAAAGUGCAUUGGGUCGUAGUUCAUUCAGUGAAUGUGAAGAUAUGAAAAUCAAAUCUGACAUUUUGUUGUGGUCUGCUAUAUGUGAAUAGGAAAAAAACGAAAUAUGCGACAAUGUUAAUGCUAAGUGCAGUAGAUAUUUGCCUAUGUUUGUAACGCCAGUACAGUAUUUGUUAUUACUGUUCUUAGAGAUAAGGAAGUUAACUGUGAUGGUAUAUAUGGACUUCUUUGGGCAUAGAGUUGUUAAAAGACUUAUCUCAUUUUAAAUGUGUGAAGUUGUUUUUGUUUUAUUUCAAUUGUCUAAUGUUAGGGCAUGUGCAAUAAGGCAGCUAUAACAUAGGUUAGACAUUUUAAAAGAUUGGACGAAUCUUACGUCCUAUCUUUUAGGCACAUUAUACUUAAAUAUAUUAUGAAUUGAUAAAACUGCUUGUUAAGCCUUGUAAUGGGUCUAUAAGUACAAAUAAAGCUAAAUGUUUUACCAAA